ensembl:lncRNA
GAGUGAGAGGCUCGAAAAUAUGGAGCGCCACCGUGGAGCAUGGGGAGUGGCUGGAAGGUCAGGAAAGACACAGUUCAACACUGAGAGGGAUGCUUAUUCAGGGAGCCCUGGGGCAGCACCAGAGGCUGCUGGCUGGGCACUGAAGUGAUGAGAGGCAUCUUCCCAGAAGGCGAUGAGCAGGGCGGCAGCGAGGCACUGGCUCGGGUGAAGAAGCCCCAGGGCAGGUGCAGAAGGUGGCCGUGCAAAGAGGCUUCUGGAGUCAGGAUGGUUGGAUUGAAGCCCUGCUGCUUAACAGUGGUGCGACCUUGGACCAGUUAUUGGACCCAUCUGGGACUAAGUCAUCUCAUCUAUAAAAUGGAUGUGGCCACAAUGACGACAAUAUAGGUUGGACAUCUUUAGCAGAAAUACCUGGAGCCGGGCAUCGUGGCUCACAUUUGUCAUCUCAACUCUUGGAGAGGACGAGGUGCGGGCCUGCCUCUACCAAAAUUUAAAAAUUAACUGGGUGUGGUGGUGCACACCUGUAGUCCCAGAUACUCAGGAGGCUGAGACAAGAGGACCGCUUGAGCCCAGAAGAUUGAGGCUGCAGCCUCUUGGACCUCUUCCCAGAGCUUCCCAGGAUACCUACUCCAAAGCUAUCCUUCCCUUCUCGGAGCUCUCAUCUCACCUUGCACAGGCUCUGUCCAAACAGCGUCCUGGGCCAUUGCGCAGGGAGAAGAGAAAUUCUGGCCUGGAUCUUCUGGGGAGCCAGAUCCCCAGGUCUUUCAAUGUUCCAGAAUUGCAGAAAUGCUGGAAGGAACCUCCUGGAUCACCUACUCAUGAAAGAACUCAGGCAACGGAAGGCCGGGGAGAGGAAGGCCACGCCAAAGCCCAGCCCCAAUGAGAAGACCGAGGCAUGCAGAUAAUUAAAGAAAAAAACAAGCAAAAACCUUGCCCAGGUUACACAAUGAGUGAGCACUGGAGGAGAACUCAAAUGCUGGCUGCCUGACUGCACGGGGCUUGCUGGUAACUCUUUGCUGGAGCAGUAAAGGCUCCAGUAGGGUCAGGGAGUCCUGGGAGCUCGGAGGUGGGCAGCUGACGCGGCCCGCGUGGGACGGGAAGGCGCAGCUCGGCAGCUUCUCCACACUCACCACUGAGUCUGUUCACCCUCCCCUGCUCGUGGGCGACUCAUGUUUUCUCACGAUCUCCUCUCCUCAAACCCCACCCCGCCCUCCCCGUCCUCACUCUCAGUUGUUGACCUUGUUUCCCACUCCCUGAAGACAAUCCCAUCUCUCAGAAGUACUUCCAGAUUUGCACGGGCACAUCCACUCCCCCCGCCCAGCCUCUGCACCCACACACUCUGCCUCCCCAAGUCCUAGGAGAGAUGACAGCCCAGGCCUGCCCUCGCCCACCACCCCAGGUGGGCACCGGAGCCCAGUCCCUGUGAUCAGCAAGUCAUCCCCUCCUUCUUCACUGGACCAUUCCCAUCAGUGGUUGUUUUUCCUCCCAUCUUAAACAAACCUGCUCUUGAUCCCCUGUGGCUACCCCUCUGCAACAAAACUCCUCCCAGAGUUGUCUCUAUUCACUAUCAUUGGUUCUUUGCCUGUUUUCUCUCAAACUCACUCCAAUCUGGCUUUCGUCCCCAUUACUCUAUCAAAAAUAUUCCUAUGGGCCAGGCAUGCUGGCUGAUACCUGUAAGCCCAAUGCUUUGGGAGGCUGAGGAGGGCGGAUCGCAAUGUCAAAAGAUUGAGACCAUCCUGGCCAAUGUUAUGAAACCCUGUCUCUACUACAAAAAUUAGCUGGGCAUGGUGGCACAUGCCUGCAGUCUCAGCUUCUCAGGAGGCUGAGGCAGGAAAAUCGCUUGAACCCAGGAGGCAGAGGUUGCAGUGAGCCGAGAUCGCGCCACUGACUGGCAGUAGAGUGAGACUCCAUCUCAAAAACAACAACAACAAAAGUUGGUUCUUGGGUGGGACAGAAAAAUAUUGAUAUUACAAUGGUUUGUAAUUCUCCAAAGGGCCAGAGUACAUGGACAUGUAUACAUUAUAGCUGUGCUGUUAAAAUUCCAUUGUGGGCUAGAUGCGGCAGCUCACGCCUGUAAUCCCAGCAUUUUGGGAGGCUGAGGUGGGUGAAUCACCUGAAAUUAGGAGUUCAAAACCAGCCUGGGCAACGUGAUGAAACCCUGUCUCUACUAAAAUACAAAAAUUAGCC